GAUGAACGCUAGCGGCAGGCUUAACACAUGCAAGUCGAGGGGUAGAGGAAGCUUGCUUCCUUGAGACCGGCGCACGGGUGCGUAACGCGUAUACAAUCUACCUUUUACAGAGGGAUAGCCCCAGAGAAAUUUGGAUUAAUACCUCAUAGUAUUUUCGGAUCGCAUGAUUUGAUUAUUAAAGUUCCAACGGUAAAAGAUGAGUAUGCGUCCCAUUAGCUAGUUGGUAAGGUAACGGCUUACCAAGGCUACGAUGGGUAGGGGUCCUGAGAGGGAGAUCCCCCCACACUGGUACUGAGACACGGACCAGACUCCUACGGGAGGCAGCAGUGAGGAAUAUUGGACCAAUGGGCGGCAAGCCUGAUCCGAGCCAUGCCGCGUGCAGGAGUGACGGUCCUAUGGAUUGU
rnacentral:rRNA from 1 species